rnacentral:rRNA from 1 species
AACGAACGCUGGCGGCAUGUCUAACACAUGCAAGUCGAACGAUGCUUUCGGGCAUAGUGGCGCACGGGUGCGUAACGCGUGGGAAUCUGCCUUUGGGUUCGGAAUAACAGUUAGAAAUUGCUGCUAAUACCGGAUGAUGUCUUCUGACCAAAGAUUUAUCGCCCAGGGAUGAGCCCGCGUAGGAUUAGCUAGUUGGUGGGGUAAUGGCCUACCAAGGCGACGAUCCUUAGCUGGUCUGAGAGGAUGAUCAGCCACACUGGGACUGAGACACGGCCCAGACUACUACGGGAGGCAGCAGUGGGGAAUAUUGGAAAAUGGGCGCAAGCCUGAUCCAGCAAUGCCGCGUGAGUGAUGAAGGCCUUAGGGUUGUAAAGCUCUUUUACCCGGGAUGAUAAUGACAGUACCGGGAGAAUAAGCUCCGGCUAACUCCGUG